rnacentral:lncRNA from 1 species
AGAUGCUGAAACCAUGUCAUUAACAUGCUAUUUGCUUCCCCACUAUUUGCGUGACACACAGCACAUCCCAGGGAAUGUUGCAGUUGUCACUGUAAGAAGGUAAAUUUUCAAGUACUUCACUUUCUGAAUGUCAGUGAAGUUUAAAAAAAGAAAAAGAUGCCAGUAUUCCCACAUUUUGACCUAAGAAAACAUGGUAAUUAAUAUGCAUUGUCUUCAUAUGCCAGAAUGAUUAACCAUUAUAUCUUCAGUCCUACCCUAGUGUCUGGCAUAUAGUUAGUACUCAGUCCACGCUGAAAUCAUUAUUAAAAAGACAUAUAUAUGCUAGUGAGAAGGGCAUGACAGCAGUCUUUUUGACUAUGAAACAUGACAGAGAUUUUUCACUUGCUUAAUGAUUAAGGCAUUACUGGAUUAAAAGUCUCCUAGACAGAGUUUCAAAUGCGUUUGCGCUCAGGAGAAGAGUUAGGAGCUGCCAAGGGUAAGAAGGACACGAUUCUGUCCAGACAGAUGCUGUUUAAAAUGAAAAGAGUGGUGGUCUUGUUUGUUAGGACACCUGUUUGGUCUUACCUACAAUUAUUAAAAUGGCAGAAAUUAUUAACUUUGGGUGUGGAUACAACCUGUGAAUACACAUUCACACAUUCAAGCUAAGAUUAUACUUAAAGUGCUUCCUGAUAGUGACAUUUAAUUCUAAAAACGGGGCAAUAUACAGCUCACCUUCUAAAUCUAACAUUACGAUGAUCUUGUUUU